UGUAAAUAAAAAGGGAGACACGCUUGAAAGGAAAUUGAAAAAAUAGGGCCACUUUGCAAAUUAAAAGAGGCGAGCCACAUAGGAUGGCUACGUCAGCAGCGGAGUGAAUCAAGAUGCGCCGUGUGGCAAGUAUGUCAGCAAACUCUCCCACGCGAGGAGCCACGUUGGCGAUCCGCAUGCCUGAGGGAUUGAACGGCUCAGAUACCUUCCCGCUCGUACAAACGACAAGAUCUCAAUCCCAUCUGGAUUCGAACGAACGACCCUGAUUGCCUACGUGAUGGAUCCAAUGGUGGCAUGAUUAACGACUCUGAUUCGCAGGGCUGACCGAUCAGAUGGUCCAAAAUAUGUAAGGGAGGAGAAUCUGGGUUGACCCAAAUAGGGAGGAAAAUUCGACGCCUGGAUGGACGACCCUGAUUGAGGGGAGGGAGUUAUUUAAACCUCUCAUUCGACUGGUCUCCUAAACCUAGCUGCCAGGUCGAUCGGAGAAGAAGGAGAUAGGAACGCUAGAGGAAGCUCAGCCGCUGGAGGGACGAUAGUGCCGUCGUGUCGAAAGCUGAAAAUAACACUGAUAAGCUCGAUUUUCUCCCAAUUUUCCUAAUUUUCCAUUCUCAAUCGUUUCUCUUUACUCUUUCAAAGUAGAUUGACUCGAGGAAGGCCACGAACCGAGAGGGAAGAGACGCACAAGUCGGGCCGAUUUCGAAAAGAGAGAAAAGAAGAGGAAAUAGGUGAAAGUCGAGGGUGGGAAUCAUUGCAACUGGUGGUUUCGAGGAGCUACACCGCCACUGGCCGAUUUGGGAUAAGGAUGCCUAAACCCUUCUCUCUGUAACGGUUGACCGAAGGUCAACAAGAAAAAAAAAUAAAAUAAAAAAUAAAUAUAAUGAUAAUAAUAGCAUGGUAGGGAUAGUAAUAAAAUAAGGUGAUAUGCAUAUAUAGGUAUAUGCAUAAAUACACUUGGCUGGACUAAAAUCUAGCCUGCGUCGGGUGUUCCUAAUUUUAAUCUUUAAGGUUGCCGAUGGAGCUAACAAAAUGCA